rnacentral:lncRNA from 1 species
GCUCAAAUAUUUGGAUGUGAAUUUCUUUAGAAUUACAUUUUAUAUCUCUCUAAAAAUGUUUCUUUUUGAAAGGAAAACAUUAAUGAGGAGGAAAAUAUCGCCAUAAAGGAAAACAUGACUAAAAAGGAAAAUAUUUAUGAUGCUUCAACUCUGCUAUCUUCCUGGACAAACAGAGAAACUGAAUUCAGAAAACAAGAACUGACAAGAAAAAUAAUUUUGAAAGAGCAAACGCAAGCAUUCCUCACAGACAUCAAAGAGAUGUGUGCCAUGGAAAGUGAUGAACAUUCGGAAGAGGAAAACAGCCUUGAAAUGGAAAGAAUGAUUGAAAAUGAAACCACUCUUAAUGAGGAAAACAUCAUAGAAACAAAAAAUACCACUGGGAAGAAAUCCAUUCGUUAUACUGGUUGGACUCUGGCACGUCUCUGGACAAUCAGACAAAAUGAAGUAAAAAAACAAGAAAUGGCAAGAAAAGCAGUUCUGGAAGAGAAAGUUGAGAAUUACAUCAAAGUAAUCAAAGAGAUAUAUGCAAUGGAAAUCAAUGAUGACAAGGAGAAGAACGAAUUGAGUGCAAGGGAAUACACAAACACUUCUGAAAAGAACUGA